rnacentral:rRNA from 1 species
CGGGUGAGUAAUGUCUGGGAAACUGCCUGAUGGAGGGGGAUAACUACUGGAAACGGUAGCUAAUACCGCAUAACGUCGCAAGACCAAAGAGGGGGACCUUCGGGCCUCUUGCCAUCAGAUGUGCCCAGAUGGGAUUAGCUAGUAGGUGGGGUAAUGGCUCACCUAGGCGACGAUCCCUAGCUGGUCUGAGAGGAUGACCAGCCACACUGGAACUGAGACACGGUCCAGACUCCUACGGGAGGCAGCAGUGGGGAAUAUUGCACAAUGGGCGCAAGCCUGAUGCAGCCAUGCCGCGUGUGUGAAGAAGGCCUUCGGGUUGUAAAGCACUUUCAGCGAGGAGGAAGGUGGUGAACUUAAUACGUUCAUCAAUUGACGUUACUCGCAGAAGAAGCACCGGCUAACUCCGUGCCAGCAGCCGCGGUAAUACGGAGGGUGCAAGCGUUAAUCGGAAUUACUGGGCGUAAAGCGCACGCAGGCGGUUUGUUAAGUCAGAUGUGAAAUCCCCGGGCUCAACCUGGGAACUGCAU